rnacentral:lncRNA from 1 species
UUUAGGAGCACGGGUACUACUUACUGUGGACGACGGUUGGUCAAGGAAGGCUUUCUGGAGGAGGUGACAGCUAGGCUGGGUCUUAAGGAUGAAUGGGAAGAGAGAGGAGAACAUGUGGAUAAGGCCAGGCAGAAGGGCUGCACAGCCAAGUCACAGCCAAGACGAAAUGCAGGGAGAGUUCUGGAAGCUGUGUGUUUCAUGCUGCUGGGUAGUGUGGAAGGACAGGUUGGAGGUAGGUAGCUAAGCAGCUUGGCAAAUGGAGCUACUGAGGAUUCCAAACAGGACCUCUGCAGUCGUCUCCACUGCUUAUGGGUUGAAUCACGUGAAAAAGACAAUAUUCGGCCAUUUAGGGCCAAGACAAAUGUCAGCUCUGCGGGGUGCAGCCUCACAGAGAGGCUGCUUGGGGGCCUUUGCAGAGGGUGGAUGAGCAGAGGGCAUCCUCCGGAAGCUGCCUGGGGACCCGGCUCUGAGGCCGUCGGGCCGGUGGUGUCCAGAUUCUCCUGUAGGCUGGGAGAAGGGGGAGGUUCAAGAAACAUGGAGGAGGUGAAGCGUCAGAGCCGGGGGGAUGGGGUGCCGCAGAGGAGAAGGAGCACUGAGGCUGAGGUCCAGGCUUGCAGACACGUGGAGCAUGAGUGUCCUGCCAGGUCUGUGGGUGUCUCUUCUGAGCUACACCAGUUUCCAGGUUACCUGGGACCAUGGAUAACUCUCAGAUCAGCAACUUGUCAGUUGAUUUCCAAGCUGCUGUUGGCUGGACUCAGACUCAGCAGGGAGCACCUGGGCAAGCCCUGUGCUGCGGGCUGGACUCCGGCCCGUCUCGCUGAUUACUCUUGCUUUUGCUCCCCAGUGUGUCCUCAAGAGGUCAGAGCCUGCUUGUUGUUUCUUCAUGACCACAGGAGGAGGGGCACCAACAUGAGGGUGCUAGCAUCUCCCCAGUGGUGGCUUCCCAGGGCUGGGGAAACCCUGGGGGAGGGGUUGGGACAGGGACCUCUGCUGCCACUGCCUGGGUCAACUGCCUGGCAGGGCUGGCCGCUCGUGCUCAGAAGGCUGAGUCCUUACCUGCCUUCUCCUCUCACCCAGUGCCCAUGCAAGGACACAUCUGAGUUGGCAUUCUGUGUCCGCUCUUGAGCUACUCGCAUGAUAAGUCUUUGUUGUCCUGUGGGAUGUCACCGGUUCAUGCUGAAGAGAAAUUGUAAAGGACUCCUUUGCCUGCUCAGGCCCCAUGGCCUCUGUCAUGUUUUGUCCCCAUCCCUUUGGGAGCACAGCAGCAGUGGGCUGGCUGGACUGUGCAGGCGAGGUUCAGGGAUGAGGUACAGUUGUGUGAAAGGUGAGCCUGCUGGACCGGGGAGCUUUCCUCAAGGCCUCCGCCUGGCUAUGAUGGCGUUAGGGUUGAGGGGAAGCUUCAUCCAAAAUGCACAGUACUUGGAUGUCAAGAUGAUGUUGCUGCUCUCAGGAUGAGUCACUCUCCACCACUGACUUCCUUUGAUGUUCUGAGCUCAGCCUGGAGUCUGACCUGGGACUAUAGCACUUGUUCUCCCAAGGGAAGGCUGGCGGCCAAACCCAGCUGCGCACACCUGAACCUGCUCCUUGGCAGAGAUGAAGGGCGUGAUGUUUCAUAGCCACUCAACACCCAUGGACAAUUUGGCUCCUUGUAAAGACUUAGUCAUGCCUUUGAACUGACUUACUUGAAAUAUAAUUGCUCCUAUUUUGCUCCAAAGACUGGUGGCAUGAUGGGUUAGAGUUAUUUGUAUUUAUUGAGAUUGUUGUAAUUAGCAAUCUCAGGGCUCAGUCUAACUGCAUUAUCCAUGCUGGAAAACUUAAAAAAAAAUACAGUCCUUCAUCUUCAGUUUUCCAAUGGUCGCCAGUUAUACACAGCUAAUCUUUGCAGUGAAAGUUGUCUUUGGAGAAUGUGCUUUCUUGGUCCCGGGUGGUUCUGGUCUUGGGCUGGGAUCUACGUGAGCUGCUUUGAAGUAAGCUGACAACACACAAUUAUUAAGGCUAUUUUGACCUGCAAGUAUGGUUUCUUAAAAAGGAACAAUUAAAUACCAUGUAGCAGUUAUUUAGACUUUAGCAUUGACUAAGGAAAGGAGAAAAUGGAAGAAGAACUCCCUCCUGCUUAGAUGCAGUCAUUUUUUUAAAAAAUAAUCUUUUGGGGAAUAAACUUAACCAAGGAGGUGAGGGACUUGUAAACAAAAUGUUAAAACUGCACUGAAGACUAGAAAAUGUUGAUGAAAGCUGUUAAAGAAGACACAAUUAGAUGAUGAAAACACAUCCCAUGUUCAUGGAUUGAAAGACAAUAUUGUUAAGAUGUCAAUACUAUAGAUUCUAUGCAAUCCCUGUCAAAACCCCAUUUUUUUUCAAACAUAGGAAAAUCCAUUCUAAAAUUUAUAUGGACUCUCAAGGAACCCUGAGUAGACAAAACAAUCUUGUAAAAGAACAAUGUUGGAGGUCUCACACUUUCUGGUUUCAAAACUACAGUAAUUAAAAAGCUACAGUAAUUAAAACAGCAUGAUAUUGUCACAAAGAUAUAG